GGUGGUGAAGGGGGAUUUGUAUUUCGGGCCAAGACAUGCUUAAAGGUCCUGAGAUGAUGAACAUGAAGGCCCCUUGAGCUAACCGCACGUCCAGGAUGACUGGAGCUGAGUGAAAGGUGAACAAAGACAGAAGACCUGGAAGCUAGAUAAGCAAGCGAGGCAGGGGCCACAUGGGAGCUUUGUCCAAUGCUCUCAAGGUUUACCCCACAAGCCAUUAAGUCUACAAUGGCCCUUUCCUCUUCCCAUUUGCCAAAGAGAUUUAUAAUAAAAGAAAUAUAGUGGCCAAGAAGCUAAAAAUAGUAUCAUUCAGAAUAUUUCUGGGAGAUGGAUGGAAUAAAUUCCCUUGAAGGUGGAAGUCCUAACCCCCAGCACCUGAGAACAUAAAUACUCGGAGACAGGGCCUUUCCAGAGGUGAUCAAGUUAAAUGAAGGCUGCUGGGGAGGCCCUAAGUGUAUCUAACCAGAGCCCUUACAGGAAGGGGCCAUCAGGA